rnacentral:rRNA from 1 species
AUUGAACGCUGGCGGCAUGCCUUACACAUGCAAGUCGAACGGCAGCAUGAUCUAGCUUGCUAGAUUGAUGGCGAGUGGCGAACGGGUGAGUAAUACAUCGGAACGUGCCCUGUAGUGGGGGAUAACUAGUCGAAAGAUUAGCUAAUACCGCAUACGACCUGAGGGUGAAAGUGGGGGACCGCAAGGCCUCAUGCUAUAGGAGCGGCCGAUGUCUGAUUAGCUAGUUGGCGAGGUAAAGGCUCACCAAGGCGACGAUCAGUAGCUGGUCUGAGAGGACGAUCAGCCACACUGGGACUGAGACACGGCCCAGACUCCUACGGGAGGCAGCAGUGGGGAAUUUUGGACAAUGGGCGAAAGCCUGAUCCAGCAAUGCCGCGUGUGUGAAGAAGGCCUUCGGGUUGUAAAGCACUUUUGUCCGGAAAGAAAUGGCUCUGGUUAAUACCUGGGGUCGAUGACGGUACCGGAAGAAUAAGGACCGGCUAACUACGUG